rnacentral:rRNA from 1 species
UACGAAGGGGGCUAGCGUUGUUCGGAAUCACUGGGCGUAAAAGGGCGCGUAGGCGGCCGAUCAAGUCGGGGGUGAAAAGCCUGUGGCUCAACCACAGAAUUGCCUUCGAUACUGUUUGGGCUUGAGACCGGAAGAGGUUAGUGGAACUGCGAGUGUAGAGGUGAAAUUCGUAGAUAUUCGCAAGAACACCAGUGGCGAAGGCGGCUGACUGGUCCGGUUCUGACGCUGAGGCGCGAAAGCGUGGGGAGCAAACAGG